rnacentral:misc_RNA from 1 species
AGACAGAAACUGCAUACAGCUCUCAGCACGGGAAAUUUAACAUGUGUAGGCCCUAGACGCCAUUAUUACUAGUAUUAUAAGUUCCGCUUCAUCAUAAGACAGCAGGUUGAUGUUACAUGUCUCUGGCUCUGGCAUUGUUUAUUCCAUCGGCGUUUGGCUUUGUCUGUGUCCCCUGGCUGCUUUGUUUCUCAGGGAAGUUUUGGAAGGAACUUGCAACUGCAAGAUGUCUGGAAUACCGUCUCUCUCAUCAAGGAUGGCCUACAAUUUCCUAUGCCCGGAUGUUGCGUCAAAUUUUCAGGGCCGCUGUACGCGAGAAGACUGCAAAUACCUGCACCCGCCACCCCACCUGAAGACCCAGCUGGAGAUCAACGGUAAGAACAGUAUCGCAGCCCAGAAGAUGCUGCAGAACUUUCACAACCAGCAGCUGCAGCUGCAGGCUGCUGCGGCAAGCAUGCAGCUGCAUCAACCCGGCGCCACCAUCUUGCCUACGCACCAGGCGCUCAACUCACUGGAGUUGGUUGGCUGUCCAACUUACCCGUACGACCACAUGGGACGAUACAACGCCAGCUGCACUAGAUGCUUACAAACUGAGGCACCAUCCCCAGCGUUGAGUACCUCUCCUGCCCUCAGUACAUCACCCGCUGUGUCUGAAUCAUCUUUCUACAGUACCUACUUCUACCCCAUGCCUGUUUCCAUGCCCACAGCCAACCAAGUGCCCAGUCAACUCAACUCUAUGUACUCACCAUAUCUGACAGCAGCUCCCACCAUGGCUCCAGCAAGUCAUAUGCAGGAUUUCCCCACACCUGGUCAGAUACUGACCCCAAAUGGAACUGUAAUACCCUACCUUCCACAGCGUCCCAAGAACGACAAGUUGGAAGUCUGUCGUGAGUUUCAGCGGGGCAACUGCUCGCGGGCGGAGUGUAAAUUUGCCCACCCUGCGGAGGGGGCUGCUAUAGAUCAGCUAGACAACACCGUCACCGUCUGUAUGGACUACAUCAAGGGGCGGUGUAGUCGCGACAAAUGCAAAUAUUUCCACCCGCCCGCGCAUCUCCAGACCAAAAUUAAGGCCGCCCAACAUAAUAACAACCAAGCUAGCGUUGUGCUUCCGACCACGCCUGAAACAAUCAGCAAGAAACGAGCCCGGGAGCCUGCCGAUGACAUCAUUCUGAAUCCUGCAUUGCCGGGACUCAUUCCACCACCCAAGAAGGGGGUGGGGGCCAUAUCACACCUAGCAACACAGAGUGUGAUUCAACACCACCCAACGAUGUACCAGCCAGGUCUACCUUCAUCAAUGCAGAUGAAUGGGCAGCCGUCACAUUAUCUACCGCCACCAAAGGUGUCAGUGAAUUGGCACUACCAAGGUUCAGGCAGCUGGGUUGCCCUUCCUGCUCAAACAUGGCAGAAAGCUACUCCAGAAGUCUGCUGAUACGAUACCAGUGUGUCGUGAUUUCAAGUCCGGUAGCUGCAAGAGGCCCAACUGUAGAUAUGCACACGUGACGGAAGACUACGUUGAAA